rnacentral:lncRNA from 1 species
AUUGAAACUAGGCUUCAUUGUUUUCCAGAAUUUGAGAGGAUACUGCAUGAGGCUCUGAACAUUAGAUGGAGUCAAGAUACUAUUGCAAAAGUACUUCAAAAUCGCUUGGUCACAAUUCUGUUUCUGCCUUUAUUCAAUUUGCUGUUAUGGACCCAUGAUGUGACCAGCCCCCACCGCACUGGCCUUGGUGCCAACCCUCCCUGCCCAGGAUGUACGGCAGAGAAAAUGAAAUACGAAAACUUUGACGAGCCCCAUACAAUGGAAAUCUGCAAAGGGCUAACUAUCCCCUGCAAUGUUACAUUUGCUGCAGUACUGAACAUAUUUGUUAGGAAUAUGAAUCUGAGACCUAUAGAAAACCUCAAAGAGGACUUAAUGAGGU